rnacentral:tRNA from 1 species
GUGCCCGUAGCUCAGUUGGAUAGAGCAACGGAUUUCUAAUCCGUAGGUCACAGGUUCGAACCCUGUCGGGCACA